GCGUAACACGACCUCGGUUUCUUCCGAAGUGCGUACACCGCUUCUGAAGGCACUUUUGUAAAACAUAUUUCAAAACAUAGAUGGCAGCACCAUGCCGAAAAAGGGUAACGGUAUGUUAACCUAAUACCGGUAUGAUAGGAAUUUUAUUGAAACAUAAUUUUUUUUAAUUUUCACAAGUUCAACUAUUGAAACUAAUGAAAACAAUAUUAUUAUAAACUUGAAAAAUAAAAUCAGUAAUUUUUAAAACAAUUCUGCCAUAAACUAAACAUUUUCAUUUUAUUACCAGAAGUACAGUGAAAGGUGCGCUGACUGUUUGACUUGUUUUCAUCGACAAACGUCAGAGUGUUUAGUUUGUUGUGUGUUUUGCAACCGAAGUGUCUACCGCGUAGAUCGCGACCAGAAUCUUCCGGCGAGGCAGCGAAAUCCCGUUCGAAUCAAACAGGAACAGCCAGAAUCGGGCGAGUGUCCUCCGAGGAAAUCGGAUAAGCGCCGUGAAUUGGAGCAAUCUCCUUCUCGUCAGAUCAAAAGGGAUGCUUGGGCAGUCAGAAGCUGGGACCAUCCGGCCAGAACAUGAUCCUUACGUUUGAUGGAAAUCGGGCGAGGGUACGGACGGAAAUGCGAGGACGUCGAGGAGGAGCUGCGGAAAGAGUUUAAGUAGCUGAAGGAGGCCGCCUACGACAUGGCGAAGUCGUUGGCGCGGUAUGCCGAUGACUAAGGCCAAGACGAGCAUAUGAAGCCGCUGGCAUCUAUCAGAAAUACGGUAUGCCCUUAUCCACAUGCUCGGAUCAACCGACAACGUCACCGAAUCGCUGCCGCAACACAACGCUGCAGCUGCUGUUCAAAUUGUGCCUGCACCGUCCUGCUCGCCCAGAUGAAGGCGAAUCGUACCUCGAGCUCAACUGAAAUCAGUGGGGCAAUCUACUCGCGAUGGUCAAGCGUCUGAAAGCCGAAGAUCACCUGGAUGCCUGGAUGCAGGAGAACCAUCGACGAGACGACGCGAUGUGGAAAAUCUCCUUUAGCACGGUUUGCAUGGUGGAGGAGACGAAUCUGAUGAUUGGCACGAUCGAGAGUCGAAGGAACAUUUCACGAACAAGUUCAGAAUUUGAUUUCAACAAGAAACAUCCGCGCCAUCUUGUCCCACUGGCACUGGCUUGACCUGCAGCGAUUCCCUAGCACACCCUGUGGCUACUGGAACCUGGAGCAGAAAACUGUUCAGUACCUGUCCGAUUUCAACGCGAGUUUCCUCAACGUUUGUUUUGAAUAAUCGUGUAGAUUAUUCAAAACAAACGUCGAGGAAAAAUAGUGUAGUUAAAGGAAAAAUAUCAAUCUUGAAACAAAAAAAAGUUCAAAGGUAUUUUUGUAACCGUGCAUUUUUGGACAUUUUUAACCAAAUUAUGUUUGAUUCUCUCGCGCAGUGUAAAUACAGUUUGUUUUGUUUUGUGUCGCUUGCUGUGAUGACAGCUGGUGAAUCAAAGUUUCUUGUUUCGAUAGAUGCAAUCUUUUUCGGCGCUGAUUACAUUUAGUGUUUCAUGCCCACCAUGGCCGCAACGGACGUGGACCAAGAAAAGGACACCGGAUAGGCGGAUUAAGCGGAAAGAAAUCCCCAGCAACAAGGUAACACACAGAAAUCUCAGAUGGAGUUUGAGACGGAAUCGUCCAAGGCAGCGACGGUCAUGACGUUGAGAACGGUGGCCGCUGGACUACCCUGGAAGAAUCCAUCGGUGUGUGUUAUUGAUUGUGGAACGGCCAACGAUUUUUUUCCGGCGCAUCGAGUUCGCUGAAACCGAGUUUAGCGGAGAACAAUUCGUCGUUGCUGGAUCGAUUUGGUUUCCGGAAGAUCCGGCGCCAGCGGGAUGACGGUGGAACGGUGCUGUCGGAAUCUGAGCUGGAAUUGCAACAGGCUGUCUUGUUGGCUAAACGAACAGAAGAUGUACGGAUGACGACCAGGUAAAUUCUUCGCAAUUCAAAAAGAUAUUUUUUUUUUCUAAUUCUAGAAUUCCGUUUCUAACGCAACAACCGGUACGUACACGGAAUCGAUUGCUGCGAUUGAGACGAAAUUCGUAAACGAUCCAAAUUGAAUUCCGUUUAAGAAUUCCGAUUGAUUUGACUGCGAUGGACUUUUUGUUGACACUUUGAGUUGACCCAUUUACAUUGUUAAAAAUAAUGUUUAUUUUGUUCUGUCAAACAGUUCAUCAUGCUCACCCUCAAGUAAAAAUCAACUAGGGGAAAUAUACCCAUUUUAAUCACCUCAAGCCGUUCGACUAAUUCUCAUCACUCACUCACUUUUGAAGUUUUCCGCUAUUAAAUCAACGUUUUUAGAUACAUCAACAAUGGAGAGUUGCUUGCUCACUUUUAUUUGAGCUAUUUGUUACUUUGGAUUGUCUGUGCUUUGGAACAGCCAAAAACAAUUUAUGAAAGCUGGAAUUCAUGAUCAAAGUGUAGAUAGGCCGAUAAUAGAAAUAGGCUGAGAAAGGGUAUAUUUCCCCUAAUAGGUCACGAUGGCUCUUUUGAAACUUGAUACGAGAUUUUAGUUUCUCUGCUUUGCUGAAAAAUUUAACUGUCAAUGUUGAUUAUGAUUAUAAUUAUUAUUAUUGAAAUUUUCUUUAUUUAUUUUCAGAAAACAGCAACAUAAGAUCAACAUAACUCAAGAAUGUACUUUAUUCAACGUAGAGAGGAAUAUCACCAGCCACGUAUUGGACAAAAAAGAUAAGUGAACAUUUUUAUCAUGGUGUAAACUAGAGAUUUGGCGGAUUGUUUUUAUUUACAGGUGUGUCCCUCAGUUACGCUUCGGACCUGAACCUGAUUUUUGAAGCAGCGGUGUUACCGUAGAAGACGGUAUUCAGGCCGGUGUAGCACGACAGCGCAACUUCCCAUCGGCAGAACUCCAAUUUAAGCAAAAUCGGCAGCUGAAGGUUAUGUCAAACCUGGACCCAUUUCACCAGACCGACAACUUUCACAGAAUGGCAGAGAUGGAGCUGUUCGAGGAUUGGCUUCUGCGAUUGCUACUAAAAUUCUGGACGAGGUUUACUGCCACUCGAAGCCAAUCUGUUCCAUAUGUAAUUUUGUCAAAUUUGAGUUAAUGAUAUUAGUCCUAAAUCAUGUGAACUAUCAGAAAACUAAUAAUAUUGAGUACUUCAUUCCAGAAAACUAAGAUAGUCACACUUUUUCGUAAAAUCCUAACACUUAGCCUUAAGGGCGGGACACAUUUGCCUUACGUUUUUCUCAGCUUUUUGUUUUUACAAAUGGGAUGGACUAGAUUCGAGCGGCAGUUUACAACCUAGUUCAACCCUGUGCUGCAUGAGAUGUCUCAUUGAGCUAUGAUGUUAGAAUUAUAUAAAAAAAAAAACACUUUUUCUAAGAUCAUAUUGUAUUUUUUUCCCUUAUGUUGAAUAAGUUACUUCUUUAGGCACUCACGCCCUCUGAAAAAAAAACAGCUACAGCAAAGUUUUAGGAUAAUUUAUGAACCAAUAUAACGUAUCGAAUAAAGAAAUUAUUUGGCCAAAG